GACGAACGCUGGCGGCGUGCUUAACACAUGCAAGUCGAACGGAAAGGCCCUGCUUUUGUGGGGUGCUCGAGUGGCGAACGGGUGAGUAACACGUGAGUAACCUGCCCUUGACUUUGGGAUAACUUCAGGAAACUGGGGCUAAUACCGGAUAGGAGCUCCUGCUGCAUGGUGGGGGUUGGAAAGUUUCGGCGGUUGGGGAUGGACUCGCGGCUUAUCAGCUUGUUGGUGGGGUAGUGGCUUACUAAGGCUUUGACGGGUAGCCGGCCUGAGAGGGUGACCGGCCACAUUGGGACUGAGAUACGGCCCAGACUCCUACGGGAGGCAGCAGUGGGGAAUAUUGCAUAAUGGGCGGAAGCCUGAUGCAGCAACGCCGCGUGCGGGAUGACGGCCUUCGGGUUGUAAACCGCUUUCGCCUGUGACGAAGCGUGAGUGACGGUAAUGGGUAAAGAAGCACCGGCUAACUACGUG
rnacentral:rRNA from 1 species